AUGGACCAUGCGGCGCCGCGGGCCAGGGAUUGGUCGCUGCUGCCCCUCGACGUUCUCUCCUCGAUCUUCGUCCGGAUCGGCGCCGUCGACGUCCUCAUGGGCGCCGGCCUGGUGUGCCGCUCGUGGCUCGAGGCGGCGAAGCUGCCAGAAGUGUGGCGGGCCGUGGACAUGGACAAACACGAGGUCGUGUUCGCGAAGUGUAACGUGGUCCUGCGCGCAAUGGCGAAGGCGGCCGUCGACCGUUCCGACGGGCAGCUUCGGUCGUUCGCCGGCAAGCUGUUCGUCACCAACGAGCUCAUCAAAUAUAUCGUGGAAAGGUGUUUUUUCUUGCCUUAG
rnacentral:rRNA from 1 species